rnacentral:rRNA from 1 species
UGCGGAGGGAGCUAGCGUUGUUCGGAAUUACUGGGCGUAAAGCGCACGUAGGCGGCUUUGUAAGUUAGAGGUGAAAGCCUGGGGCUCAACUCCAGAACUGCCUUUAAAACUGCAUCGCUUGAAUCCAGGAGAGGUGAGUGGAAUUCCGAGUGUAGAGGUGAAAUUCGUAGAUAUUCGGAAAGAACACCAGUGGCGAAGGGCGGCUCACUGGACUGGUAUUGACGCUG